AUUGAACGCUGGCGGCGUGCCUAACACAUGCAAGUCGAGCGGUAACAGGUGUAGCAAUACAUGCUGACGAGCGGCGGACGGGUGAGUAACGCUUGGGAAUCUGCCUGUUAGUGGGGGACAACCCGGGGAAACUCGGGCUAAUACCGCAUACGCACUACGGUGGAAAGCCGGGACGCAAGCCCGGCGCUAACAGAUGAGCCCAAGUCGGAUUAGCUAGUUGGUAGGGUAACGGCCUACCAAGGCGACGAUCCGUAACUGGUCUGAGAGGACGACCAGUCACACCGGAACUGAGACACGGUCCGGACUCCUACGGGAGGCAGCAGUGGGGAAUAUUGGACAAUGGGCGAAAGCCUGAUCCAGCGACGCCGCGUGGGUGAAGAAAGGCCUGCGGGUUGUAAAGCCCUUUCGGUGGGGAAGAAAAGACCUCGAGUUAAUACCUCGGGGUCUUGACGUAACCCAUAGAAGAAGCACCGGCUAACUCUGUGCCAGCCGCCGCCGUAAC
rnacentral:rRNA from 1 species